GUGGGGAAUAUUGGACAAUGGGCGAAAGCCUGAUCCAGCCAUGCCGCGUGUGUGAAGAAGGUCUUCGGAUUGUAAAGCACUUUAAGUUGGGAGGAAGGGCAGUAAGUUAAUACCUUGCUGUUUUGACGUUACCGACAGAAUAAGCACCGGCUAACUUCGUGCCAGCAGCCGCGGUAAUACGAAGGGUGCAAGCGUUAAUCGGAAUUACUGGGCGUAAAGCGCGCGUAGGUGGUUUUGUAUGUUGGAGGUGAAAUCCCCGGGCUCAACCUGGGAACUGCCUCCAAAACUGCAUGACUAGAGUACUGUAGAGGGUAGUGGAAUUUCCUGUGUAGCGGUGAAAUGCGUAGAUAUAGGAAGGAACACCAGUGGCGAAGGCGACUACCUGGACUGAUACUGACACUGAGGUGCGAAAGCGUGGGGAGCAAACAGGAUUAGAAACCCUGGUAGUCC
rnacentral:rRNA from 1 species